ACUUGUGGCCAUACCACCCUGAACAUGCUUGAUCUCGUCUGAUCUCGGUGGAUGAGCAGGGUUGGGGCUGGUUAGUACUUGGAUGGGAGACCACCUGGGAAUGCCAGGUGCUGUAAGCU
ensembl:rRNA 5S_rRNA 5S ribosomal RNA